rnacentral:rRNA from 1 species
UACCAGCACCCCGAGUGGUCGGGACGUUUAUUGGGCCUAAAGCAUCCGUAGCCGGUUCUACAAGUCUUCCGUUAAAUCCACCUGCUUAACAGAUGGGCUGCGGAAGAUACUAUAGAGCUAGGAGGCGGGAGAGGCAAGCGGUACUCGAUGGGUAGGGGUAAAAUCCGUUAAUCCAUUGAAGACCACCAGUGGCGAAGGCGGCUUGCCAGAACGCGCUCGACGGUGAGGGAUGAAAGCUGGGGGAGCAAACCGG